GGAGAAGGCACAAGUCUUUUGCAGUGGGAUUGGGACUCCUAUUCAUUAUGGCCAGCCACUUACUACCAGCCAGACUAGUGGAUUCUGCCCUUGAGAGGCAGCAGAAAUAGGCAGGAAGGACAGCAGAAUCCAGGGGACUUCAGUGGAAGAAAGCCAGCAGCUGUGCUGAUGGGGUGUUCCAGGAGCUGCACUGUGGCGGUUGUGCUGUCAUUCAUAAAAGACCCUUGGAGAGGGGAUGAGCAGUGAUGUGACAAAGUUUUCUGAUAAAGCUGUAGUUAUGCAGGAUAAUGGAGGAGG
rnacentral:lncRNA from 1 species